CGGCGGGUAAGGACCGGGGAGCUAGCCCUGCCCUGUAACCCGAAACGGGCUAUACGCGGGGGUCCGUCAACCCCUAGAGGCGGCGGCCCAAACAGCCAGAUGGGAUCCUGUAGGCCGACCAUGAAACCCCGUCCCGCAGGACCGGGCUGGAGGCAGGCCUCCUUGAAGGAGGAGGCUGAGCCUCUUCGACCGCCGAACCGGGUCAGGCCGGGAACGGAGCAGCCCUAAGGCGGGCAGCCUGGUGUUUGCGGGGGUGCGGGGUCGAGGAGACCUACAGGACACCCGGGCUGGGAGGGCGUCCACUCUAGGGGGAUGCCGCCG
rnacentral:SRP_RNA from 1 species